ACGGGCUGAACCAGCAACUUGGAGGAAUGUAUAGGGAAAACGGGUAAUAUGUGAUGUACCUAAUAGUAUUAGUGAUUAAUAUGAAAUUAACUAAGUUAAUUAAAAUUCGAAGUAGAUAAAUGAUUAUGACAAUAUUUGCUUAUUUCUUGACCAAGUCACGUGCCAGCAGUCGCGGCAAUACGUGGAAGAUCAGUGUUAUUCAUCUUUAGUAGGUUUAAAGGGUACCUAGACGGUUAAUUAAGCAUAUUUGUGUACUAAUUAUUAACUAGAGUUUAAUGUAAGAAGGAUUGAGUACGGUGAGUGUAGAGAUAAAAUUCUGUCAUACCACUUAGGAACUGGUAAAGGCGAAGGCAACCUUUUAUGUAAAAACUGACGUUAAGGGACGAAGGCUCGUAUUAAGUAAUAGGAUUAGAGACCCUAGUAUUGUGGGCAGACAAUGAUGAGUGUCAUAUGCAAGAAAUAUUUUGUGUAUAAAUGAAAGUGUAAGCACUCCACCUCAAGAGUAACGUGGCAACAUGGGAACUGAAAUCAUUAGACCGUUUCUGAAACUCGUAGUGAAGUAUGUUGUUUAAUUUGAUGAUCCACAAACAACCUUACCACAAUUUGAAUUACUAAUGAUUUUACUUGGAACAUUUAUUAGUUAUUUCUUUUACUGAUAGUUUAGCUUUUAUAUUGGUAUUUCUCGGUAGCUACUAAAUGUUUAAAAGUAAUUGUUUAGUAACAAGUGUUGCACGGCUGUCUUCAGUCAAUGUUGUGAAACUUUGGUUAGAUCCAUUAAAUUGACGUAAACCCUUGCUUUAUUUGAGAUAAAGCCGUUCGCCGCUAUAUUGGUAGUGAUAUAAGGGACUAAGACAAGUCAUCAUGGCCUAAACAUUGUGGGCUAUAGACGUGCCACAUUACCCUUAACAAAAAGAUGCAAAA
rnacentral:rRNA from 1 species